rnacentral:lncRNA from 1 species
CCAAAGCGAGAACAAAGGAAGAAAAAGGAAGAACAAGAACGCUAGGGUGAAAAUUCAAGAGAAAAUUGGUGGAUUUCAAGUAAUCAAGCAAUCAAAGGUAAAAUUUCUUGAUUUUGACUUGUUAUCUACCUUUCCCAUGCAUUAUUUUGCAUUUUCCAUGGUUGAAUCACAAGAUAUCAUGAAGGAUAGUGUGCUGAUCAAACCCCAGGAGAGAGGUUUUGACGCUUCAUUUAGUUAGAUUUCAAUGUAUUUUAGUGUUUUUAGUUGAUUGGUGAUGUGUAGCAUGAAAAUCAAGCAAGAAAAAUUCAUGUUCUCCCAUCACCCAUCAUUGGCCGAAUUCUCCAUGUGGAAUAUUGAGGAUGAUUUUGAUUUUAUUUCAAGUGAUUUGGUUAGGAAUUAGUGAUUUAUGGUGUGAGAAUCAAGUAGGAAAAAUUAUAGUGUUGAUGCACCCACCAUGGCCGAAUUUUCCAAGAGAAAAUGUGAAAAUGAUUUUGCUAGAUUUUAUGCUAUUUGACUUGUGUUUGAUGAUUUGGAGUAUUGGGAGAAAAAUGGAAUUUAUUUGGAGUUGAAUUGGACGUAUUGGUCAAUUAAUCGAGUGAUAGAUCGAAUUAGGCCAAUACCGUUUAAUUUAGGUACACAAUUGAAUUUGUGUAGAACACCGUAUUUAGACAAUAAUCUGAACAAUUUGCAUCCCAUUUCAUACAUUAGUAUAAAACCUAAAUUGGUUUUAUAACAAUUUAGCACAAUGUAGUAAAUGGCUUAUUGUGCAUUAUGUCUAGGUGGUGAGCAUUUUGGCAAAAGUAAAGAGAUAGUACUCGAGGAUCAGGAAUCAGAGUACUUGGAAUUUGACUCCCCGAAAUAGUGAGUAACCUUACUAUCGUUUUAAUUAUCUAAAGUGGUUUUUAUCCGAUUUUGUGAUUUUAUGGGAAAUGAGUUUAAAUGGUAAAUCUUUAUGUUUUAUAAACAAAAUGUGUUUAAAUGAAAUGAUUUUAUAAAUUGUCUUGAAAUUGAAUGAUGGCUUUGAAAAUAGAGUAAUUGGAGACCACUUGAUGUGUUGUAAUUUAUGAUUCUAAUUGAUGGCUUAUGAUAAUGUGUUAGCAUGACUGGCUGGAAUUGUGAUUUGUGAACUGUAUGAAUUGUUCUGUUUUACAUUUACAGGCUGGGUUGUCACGACCCGGAACUCCCCAUCGGGCCCGUGACAACCGCCGCGAGGCCUCGACAGACAUUCUUCACCCCGAAUGCCGAUCAAAACCCCGCAAGGCUUAGCAUCAACUUCCGCAUCUCCCCGAUGAGCAACAAUUAUUAAAUCUUGCAUUUAAAAAAAAUCAUAAGUAAUUUUCAAAUAAGAACAAUAGAAUAUUAUUUUCUGGCUCAUAGGGGCAUUUUCGUAAUUUUUCUUCAAAAAUCUCAAAACUUGCUAAAAAUGUAGUAGGUAAGCAGAAAAUAUAUAUUUAAUGAUUUUAAAACAAAUUAAGUAUCUAAAACGUUCAUUUGAAAGCAAAUUGUUA